rnacentral:other from 1 species
GAUUCCCUGCUGUGCGCGUGUUGAGUUGAUAAGUUUUGAGCCAACACUAUUGAAAAGGGAACUUAAACUUUGAUGUGGCUUGCAGGCCCUUGACAUCUUUGAUGUCAAGGGAAGCAAAAAGCAUCGAAGAGAGUGCCCACCUGUAAAACAGGGUUCAAAAUUGUCACCUCUCACGGCAUCUGCGGGGAUUUU